rnacentral:lncRNA from 1 species
UGCCUUGAACUUGAUGCACAUCGUUAUAAAAAUAUCAAACAGGUGACCGGCGAGAUCUCGUCAAGAUGGCGCCGUGAGCAGACGUUGAACUUGCCUCCUCCCACGAGCACAAGCAGGUUACAACAAUUUUGGGAAGAAUCACCCUGGAUUGAAAACUGAAAACUGGAUAAAAAGAACCCCCACAAUAAGGGACAGUCCUGACGAAAGCAGAAGACGCAGUAACUCCAACAGGAGAGGAACAAAGCCACCUUUGGGAGGAGCAGAGCUUCUCAGCUGGCCAGGCAGGAGCCACCCUAAGAGAGCCAGUUAUAAAAUGUUCACCAGCACACCACUGUCUACAUUGUAGCAAGAUCCCCAGGUAAUUUACACUUUGCUAAGCACUGUGGCAAUGAGCAUCAAAUAAAAUAACUCCUCCUGCAAAUGUCUAAAUGCA